rnacentral:rRNA from 1 species
GACGAACGCUGGCGGCGUGCUUAACACGUGCAAGUCGAACGGAAAGGCCCUGCUUUUGUGGGGUGCUCGAGUGGCGAACGGGUGAGUAACACGUGAGUAACCUGCCCUUGACUUUGGGAUAACUUCAGGAAACUGGGGCUAAUACCGGAUAGGAGCUCCUGCUGCAUGGUGGGGGUUGGAAAGUUUCGGCGGUUGGGGAUGGACUCGCGGCUUAUCAGCUUGUUGGUGGGGUAGUGGCUUACCAAGGCUUUGACGGGUAGCCGGCCUGAGAGGGUGACCGGCCACAUUGGGACUGAGAUACGGCCCAGACUCCUACGGGAGGCAGCAGUGGGGAAUAUUGCAAAAUGGGCGGAAGCUUGAUGCAGCAACGCCGCGUGCGGGAUGACGGCCUUCGGGUUGUAAACCGCUUUCGCCUGUGACGAAGCGUGAGUGACGGUAAUGGGUAAAGAAGCACCGGCUAACUACGUG